rnacentral:rRNA from 1 species
GUUAAAGAGUUGAUCAUGGCUCACGACGAAUUAUGGCGGCGUGCCUAAUACAUGCAAGUCGAGCGAACAGAGAAGGAGCUUGCCCCUUUGACGUUAGCGGCGGACGGGUGAGUAACACGUGGGCAACCUACCUUAUAGUUUGGGAUAACUCCGGGAAACCGGGGCUAAUACCGAAUAAUCUAUUUUACUUCAUGGUGAAAUACUGAAAGACGGUUUCGGCUGUCGCUAUAAGAUGGGCCCGCGGCGCAUUAGCUAGUUGGUGAGGUAACGGCUCACCAAGGCGACGAUGCGUAGCCGACCUGAGAGGGUGAUCGGCCACACUGGGACUGAGACACGGCCCANACUCCUACGGGAAGCAGCAGUAGGGAAUCUUCCACAAUGGGCG